UCCGUAGGGGGCAAGCGUUGUCCGGAAUCAUUGGGCCUAAAGAGCGUGUAGGCGGCCAGAUAAGUCCGCUGUGAAAUCUCGAGGCUCAACUUCGAGCUGUCGGUGGAAACUGUCUGGCUAGAGUCCGGAAGAGGAGAAUGGAAUUCCUGGUGUAGCGGUGAAAUGCGCAGAUAUCAGGAAGAACACCCGUGGCGAAGGCGGUUCUCUGGGACGGUACUGACGCUGAGACGCGAAAGCGUGGGGAGCGAACAGG
rnacentral:rRNA from 1 species